rnacentral:rRNA from 1 species
CGAUAUCGACGAGUUGAUCAUGGCUCAGAACGAACGCUGGCGGCAGGCCUAACACAUGCAAGUCGAGCGAUCCUUUCGGGGAUAGCGGCGGACGGGUGAGUAACGCGUGGGAACGUACCCUUUGCUACGGAAUAGCCCCGGGAAACUGGGAGUAAUACCGUAUGUGCCCUCUGGGGGAAAGAUUUAUCGGCAAAGGAUCGGCCCGCGUUGGAUUAGGUAGUUGGUGGGGUAAUGGCCUACCAAGCCGACGAUCCAUAGCUGGUUUGAGAGGAUGAUCAGCCACACUGGGACUGAGACACGGCCCAGACUCCUACGGGAGGCAGCAGUGGGGAAUCUUAGACAAUGGGGGCAACCCUGAUCUAGCCAUGCCGCGUGAGUGAUGAAGGCCCUAGGGUUGUAAAGCUCUUUCAGCUGGGAAGAUAAUGACGGUACCAGCAGAAGAAGCCCGGCUAACUCCGUG